AAGACCCGGGUUAAUACCCGGGGGCCAUGACGGUACCGUAAGAAUAAGCACCGGCUAACUACGUGCCAGCAGCCGCGGUAAUACGUAGGGUGCAAGCGUUAAUCGGAAUUACUGGGCGUAAAGCGUGCGCAGGCGGUUUUGUAAGACAGAUGUGAAAUCCCCGGGCUCAACCUGGGAACUGCAUUUGUGACUGCAAGGCUAGAGUACGGCAGAGGGGGAUGGAAUUCCGCGUGUAGCAGUGAAAUGCGUAGAUAUGCGGAGGAACACCGAUGGCGAAGGCAAUCCCCUGGGCCUGUACUGACGCUCAUGCACGAAAGCGUGGGGAGCAAACAGGAUUAGAUACCCUGGUAGUCCACGCCCUAAACGAUGUCAACUGGUUGUUGGGUCUUCACUGACUCAGUAACGAAGCUAACGCGUGAAGUUGACCG
rnacentral:rRNA from 1 species